rnacentral:rRNA from 1 species
GUAGGAGGCGAGCGUUAUCCGGAUUUACUGGGCGUAAAGCGCGGGUCGGUGGUGACUUAAGUCAUGCGUGAAAGCCCUCGGCUUAACCGGGGGAGGUCGUGUGAAACUGGGUCGCUGGAGGAUGGGAGAGGCAGACGGAAUUCCGGGUGGAGUGGUGAAAUGCGUAGAGAUCCGGAGGAACACCAGUGGCGAAGGCGGUCUGCUAGCCCAUACCUGACACUCAGACGCGAAAGCAUGGGGAGCGAACGGGAUUAGAAACCCCGGUAGUCCAUGCUGUAAACGAUGCAUACUAGGCGUUGGGCACUCAUUGAGUGCUCAGUGCCGCAGCCAACGCGCUAAGUAUGCCGCCUGGGGACUACGAGCGCAAGCUUAAA